GGGUCCGUAGCUCAGCAUGGAUAGAGCGCCUGCCUUCUAACUGAAAUGUUCAGAAAGAGAGCCGGAAGUCGAGGGAUCGAAGCCCUUCGGGCCCG
rnacentral:tRNA from 1 species